rnacentral:rRNA from 1 species
GUAUAGACCCGAAACCCGGUGAUCUAGCCAUGGGCAGGUUGAAGGUUGGGUAACACUAACUGGAGGACCGAACCGACUAAUGUUGAAAAAUUAGCGGAUGACCUGUGGCUGGGGGUGAAAGGCCAAUCAAACCGGGAGAUAGCUGGUUCUCCCCGAAAGCUAUUUAGGUAGCGCCUCGUGAGUUCAUCUCCGGGGGUAGAGCACUGUUUCGGCCAGGGGGCCAUCCCGGCUUACCAACCCGAUGCAAACUGCGAAUACCGGAGAAUGUUAUCACGGGAGACACACGGCGGGUGCUAACGUCCGUCGUGAAGAGGGAAACAACCCAGACCGCCAGCUAAGGUCCCAAAGUCAUGGUUAAGUGGGAAACGAUGUGGGAAGGCCCAGACAGCCAGGAUGUUGGCUUAGAAGCAGCCAUCAUUUAAAGAAAGCGUAAUAGCUCACUGGUCGAGUCGGCCUGCGCGGAAGAUGUAACGGGGCUAAACCAUGCACCGAAGCUGCGGCAGCGANNGUUGGGUAGGGGAGCGUUCUGUAAGCCUGCGAAGGUGGCCUGUGAGGGUUGCUGGAGGUAUCAGAAGUGCGAAUGCUGACAUAAGUAACGAUAAUGCGGGUGAAAAACCCGCACGCCGGAAGACCAAGGGUUCCUGUCCAACGUUAAUCGGGGCAGGGUGAGUCGACCCCUAAGGCGAGGCCGAAAGGCGUAGUCGAUGGGAAACAGGUUAAUAUUCCUGUACCUGGUGUUACUGCGAAGGGGGGACGGAGAAGGCUAUGUUGGCCGGGCGACGGUUGUCCCGGUUUAAGCGUGUAGGCUGGUUUUCCAGGCAAAUCCGGAAAAUCAAGGCUGAGGCGUGACGACGAGGCACUACGGUGCUGAAGCAACAAAUGCCCUGCUUCCAGGAAAAGCCUCUAAGCCUCAGGUAACAUCAGAUCGUACCCGAAACCGACACAGGUGGUCAGGUAGAGAAUACCAAGGCGCUUGAGAGAACCCGGGUGAAGGAACUAGGCAAAAUGGUGCCGUAACUUCGGGAGAAGGCACGCUGACACGUAGGUGAAGCGGUUUACCCGUGAAGCCGAAGUCAGUCGAAGAUACCAGCUGGCUGCAACUGUUUAUUAAAAACACAGCACUGUGCAAACACGAAAGUGGACGUAUACGGUGUGACGCCUGCCCGGUGCCGGAAGGUUAAUUGAUGGGGUCAGCGCAAGCGAAGCUCCUGAUCGAAGCCCCGGUAAACGGCGGCCGUAACUAUAACGGUCCUAAGGUAGCGAAAUUCCUUGUCGGGUAAGUUCCGACCUGCACGAAUGGCGUAAUGAUGGCCAGGCUGUCUCCACCCGGGACUCAGUGAAAUUGAACUCGCUGUGAAGAUGCAGUGUACCCGCGGCAAGACGGAAAGACCCCGUGAACCUUUACUAUAGCUUGACACUGAACACUGGUCCUUGAUGUGCAGGAUAGGUGGGAGGCUUUGAAGUGUGGACGCCAGUCUGCAUGGAGCCGUCCUUGAAAUACCACCCUUUAAUGGCUGGUGUUCUAACGUAGACCCGUGAACCGGGUUGCGGACAGUGUCUGGUGGGUAGUUUGACUGGGGCGGUCUCCUCCUAAAGCGUAACGGAGGAGCACGAAGGUUGGCUAAUCCUGGUCGGACAUCAGGAGGUUAGUGCAAUGGCAUAAGCCAGCUUGACUGCGAGCGUGACGGCGCGAGCAGGUGCGAAAGCAGGUCAUAGUGAUCCGGUGGUUCUGAAUGGAAGGGCCAUCGCUCAACGGAUAAAAGGUACUCCGGGGAUAACAGGCUGAUACCGCCCAAGAGUUCAUAUCGACGGCGGUGUUUGGCACCUCGAUGUCGGCUCAUCACAUCCUGGGGCUGAAGUAGGUCCCAAGGGUAUGGCUGUUCGCCAUUUAAAGUGGUACGCGAGCUGGGUUUAGAACGUCGUGAGACAGUUCGGUCCCUAUCUGCCGUGGGCGCUGGAGAACUGAGGGGGGCUGCUCCUAGUACGAGAGGACCGGAGUGGACGCAUCACUGGUGUUCGGGUUGUCAUGCCAAUGGCACUGCCCGGUAGCUAAAUGCGGAAGAGAUAAGUGCUGAAAGCAUCUAAGCACGAAACUUGCCCCGAGAUGAGUUCUCCCUGAGACUACAAGUCUCCUGAAGGAACGUUGAAGACGACGACGUUGAUAGGCCGGGUGUGUAAGCGCAGCGAUGCGUUGAGCUAACCGGUACUAAUGAACCGUGAGGCUUAACCUUACAACGCCGAAG